AUUUUGGGGCCCGCCUGGGCAUUUUAUUUAGUAAUAAAGCAAAGUCCAAUAAUAAAGACUGAGACCAAAACACGGCCCAGCCCCAAAAAAUCCUAAAAUAACAUCCUAAUACACUAGAAGUCAAAAAAUAGAUUAGGAAAGUACAUAUUUGAAGGGCAAAAGCCCUAUUUCCAUUUGUUGUCCACUGAAGCUCCAAGCUUCAACUAUGGCUGCUCGUCUAUCUUCUUCUUCGAUCUGCUCUCAUUUCGUCCUCUAAUGAUGAAAAUUCGUUCUGAAGAGAAGAGUAUUCAUUCCUGCCAUGUUUCUAAUCCUUUGUUUGCUUCAUUUCGCUCUGUGUAAGCUGCUUUCCUUUUCCCUUUUUUCCCCAUUUGUUAUGUAUUUGUUGUGCUUGAAGUCUCUUACUUCCUAAAUCUUGCAUAUCUGCAUACAUGUAUGCCGUGGUUCCUGAGUUUUUGCUCCAGUUCUCUCUUCCAUGAUGAAGCUUUGUUGCUGUUGUUGGAGAUAUUUCCGAAGAUGCCAUGGAAAAAACAGCUUCUUUUGCAAAGAAAUUAGGAGGGAGCUCUAGAAAGCUGAUCCAAGCAACUGUAAUUGAUGUUUCCUCCUCAGGCUUGAACCAUGGAUCCCAAAUCAGAGGUCUCAUCUAGCAGUACCUGUCAUGUACUUUGAGAUAAUAGGCUGGAGUGGACAUCAUCUUCACAUAAUCUUCCAGAAGAGACAAUCUAAUUAAGAUAUAUCUCUCAUCAAUCAAACCUAUUGUAGCUCUACCCUUUAUUCCACAAUGAAUCAAGAUGAUGACUCUUAAUUGUUUCAUGUUAAUUAUUUCAUAUGAAAACUUCCCUUGGACUGCAUAUCGUAGAUCUUCCUUUAUAAUCAUCUGUUGUACUUCUUUAGAGUUCCAUGCUAUGUAGGGUUCUCCAUCUAUGAAUUGGACUGUUUUCGAUGGGAUAUUGAUUUUUUGUGUGUUUUCUGUUGAA